rnacentral:rRNA from 1 species
AGAUUGAACGCUGGCGGCAGGCCUAACACAUGCAAGUCGAGCGGCAGCACGGGUACUUGUACCUGGUGGCGAGCGGCGGACGGGUGAGUAAUGCCUAGGAAUCUGCCUGGUAGUGGGGGAUAACGCUCGGAAACGGACGCUAAUACCGCAUACGUCCUACGGGAGAAAGCAGGGGACCUUCGGGCCUUGCGCUAUCAGAUGAGCCUAGGUCGGAUUAGCUAGUUGGUGAGGUAAUGGCUCACCAAGGCGACGAUCCGUAACUGGUCUGAGAGGAUGAUCAGUCACACUGGAACUGAGACACGGUCCAGACUCCUACGGGAGCAGCAGUGGGGAAUAUU